rnacentral:rRNA from 1 species
GUGAACGCUGGCGGUAGGCCUAACACCUGCAAGUCGAACGGCAGCACCGUAAGAGCUUGCUCUUACGGGUGGCGAGUGGCGGACGGGUGAGGAAUACAUCGGAAUCUACUUUUUCGUGGGGGAUAACGUAGGGAAACUUACGCUAAUACCGCAUACGACCUACGGGUGAAAGCAGGGGAUCUUCGGACCUUGCGCGAUUGAUUGAGCCGAUGUCGGAUUAGCUAGUUGGCGGGGUAAAGGCCCACCAAGGCGACGAUCCGUAGCUGGUCUGAGAGGAUGAUCAGCCACACUGGAACUGAGACACGGUCCAGACUCCUACGGGAGGCAGCAGUGGGGAAUAUUGGACAAUGGGCGCAAGCCUGAUCCAGCCAUACCGCGUGGGUGAAGAAGGCCUUCGGGUUGUAAAGCCCUUUUGUUGGGAAAGAAAAGCAGCAGGUGAAUACCCCGCUGUUCUGACGGUACCCAAAGAAUAAGCACCGGCUAACUUCGUG